rnacentral:lncRNA from 1 species
GUAAAUAAAUGUACACUGCCAAAUUUUAUGCUCAAAAUUUAAAAAAACAUGAAUGCAGUUUUAUAUACAGUGUUCUGAAGUUGUGUGGGUAUUUUUAGUUCUCAGGGUAUUGUUUUACUUUGAUGCUUAUAUUGGAUUAAAAAAGAUGAAGUCAGUCACUUAGACUUAAAGUGAUUAAAGAGGAAGAAUUGUGAAACUCGCCUGAAAUAUUUACUUUUUCUCCAAUCUGAACUUGUCUGUCUUCAGCUCUCUGCUACUGAACGCUUUAUUUCCUAGAUUUUCUUUCUCUUCUGUACACAUCUGCAAACCUUGAGAUCAGUCUUCUCUAAGCAAUUCCAGAUGUCUCUACCUGCAGCUCUACAGAUCACCAGAGAUUAAAAUGGGGAUUCAGGGCAGAGGGUAAGUUUAGCUUUUUUGUUUCAUUCAUUUUGGUGUGUUUUGGUUUGGUUUGGUUGGAGCCUUUUUUAUUUUUGGUGGUGUUACAUUUUUUAGACAUUUUUGUUAGGGUAGCAAAUUCUAUUAAUCCAAUGCAUUUAUCAAAUAUAGGAGAUGUUAAUUAAAUAUUUGGGUUGAUUUGGUUGCAUUUUUUUGUAACAGUUGUUUUAACCAGCAUUUGAUAACUGCCUGUAUAACUCCUUCUGGAUACAGUCUGAGGGCCAUUGAUGCUUCUUUUACAUUAAAAUGCAGGUCCUGUAGAGCUCAAAAAUAACCAUACAGAGCCACACAAUUUGGUGCUCAAAAUCCAGCAGCUGUCUUUUCUGUAGCUGGUGGAGAGGAGACAGGGGAUUCCUAAAGUCUCUUGCCACUCCAAGGUCAGGCUGCUGUAAAGCACAUUGGAUAUAGUGCCUAACUGGCACAACAAAUGAAAAGGAUUUGGCCUCUUCAGCAUUUUUGCUAGGAUCUGGAGCACACUAAAGCAAAUGUCCUGGCUGUUCCCAUUUGCUGGG